rnacentral:rRNA from 1 species
UACGUAGGUGGCAAGCGUUGUCCGGAUUUACUGGGCGUAAAGAGCGCGCAGGCGGUCGUUUCAAGUCGCGUGUGAAAGCCCCCGGCUCAACUGGGGAGGGUCACGCGAUACUGAUCGACUCGAAGGCAGGAGAGGGUAGUGGAAUUCCCGGUGUAGUGGUGAAAUGCGUAGAUAUCAGGUGGAAUACCGGUGGCGAAGGCGGCAAUUGCC